AGGAGCUAGCUGAGAGGGGGUGGGGUGGGGCGGGGCUGGAGAAUAUGCAGGUCCCUGAAGGUCAGUCGGGGAAGUACUGCUGCUGCCCUAGCACGCUUCAGUGCCUCUUUAGAGUUUAGAGUUUUCUAAAGUUUUCUGCCUGAAAUCAGCGAGUGAUGAUUUCACUGUGAAAUGAUGUCUGAUCAUCGCUCUCGCUGUCCUGUCAGGGCUCCGGCUCCUGGCAAAUGUCUGACUGAAGGAAACCUUAGUUAGACUCACACCCAGCUGUUUGGAAAUGGUAAUGGAGUUGAUAGCACACCCUGGGGGAAAGAGGCAGACUCCCUUUUUGCUCACUCUCAAUUCCCAGCCUCGCCCUGCCAGCUCGGGGAUUUCUAAGUAAGGGUGAAUCUGGACCAUAUAUGUACAGGGUUUGGCGUUUCUGAUUCAUGUUUAAUGUUUAGUUAAAUAAAGCUUGUCAAGGGCUGGAGAGAUGGCUCUCCACAGAGGUGGUUCCCCUUUUCUUAACCCGACUGGGACAGAAGUGCAAACUAUCAUCUACCUAUCUGGGAGUGGAGUGGUUGGAUACAGGGAGAUGGAGCAUUUGCAGUUAGUAAAGUUCUGCUGUCGGUUUUGUUUUGUU
rnacentral:sRNA from 1 species